ACAGUUAAAAAAUAAUUAUUACAAAAACAAACUCAAAUUAACCCGCAAAUAACAAUGCUUUCGCUUGAUCUUCCAAACAGCCAAGUAAAAAAUGCAAACCAAAACAAAUUCAGUCACAAGAAAUGGUAGCUUUCAGCAUCCCAUGUAGCAAGCAUCAUCUCUUAACAUAAUCUAUUAACAUAAUACUUACAUCUACAAAACUACAAAUAUGAGAACUCCCCUUGCUUCUCUCCCAUUAUUUAAGAAGGGAUCUUGUUA
rnacentral:misc_RNA from 1 species